rnacentral:rRNA from 1 species
UACGGAGGGUGCGAGCGUUGCUCGGAAUUACUGGGCGUAAAGCGUACGCAGGCCGUCGCUCAAGUCGGGUGUGAAAUCCCGGGGCUCAACCCCGGAACUGCGCCCGAGACUGUGCGACUUGAAUGCGGGAGAGGAUAGCGGAAUUCCUGGUGUAGAGGUGAAAUUCGUAGAUAUCAGGAGGAACACCUGUGGCGAAAGCGGCUAUCUGGCCCGACAUUGACGCUCAUGUACGAAAGCGCGGGGAGCAAACAGG